AGUGAACGCUGGCGGUAGGCCUAACACAUGCAAGUCGAACGGCAGCACAGUAAGAGCUUGCUCUUACGGGUGGCGAGUGGCGGACGGGUGAGGAAUACAUCGGAAUCUACUUUUUCGUGGGGGAUAACGUGGGGAAACUUACGCUAAUACCGCAUACGACCUACGGGUGAAAGCAGGGGAUCUUCGGACCUUGCGCGAUUGAAUGAGCCGAUGUCGGAUUAGCUAGUUGGCGGGGUAAAGGCCCACCAAGGCGACGAUCCGUAGCUGGUCUGAGAGGAUGAUCAGCCACACUGGAACUGAGACACGGUCCAGACUCCUGCGGGAGGCAGCAGUGGGGAAUAUUGGACAAUGGGCGCAAGCCUGAUCCAGCCAUACCGCGUGGGUGAAGAAGGCCUUCGGGUUGUAAAGCCCUUUUGUUGGGAAAGAAAAGCAGCAGGUUAAUACCCCGCUGUUCUGACGGUACCCAAAGAAUAAGCACCGGCUAACUUCGUG
rnacentral:rRNA from 1 species